UUGGACACGACUGAGUGACUUUCACCUCACUUGAGUUAAGGUUGUCCAGAUAGUAGUUGUUCCAAGAACCUGCUGUAAAUCAGUCACUCAUAUGACAAGCCUUGGGAAGA